AGAGAGUGUCUUAGCCAAGGCAUUAACUUCAACAACUUUCUGCGCAGCAAAAGCAAGCCAGGACUUAAUUUCAUCAUCUAAUUUUGUUUCGUUCACCAGAUCAACAGCAGUGUGAAGAAGAGAGCAAGAAGUGGAGACGACAAUCUUUUCUUUCCCAACAAGGUUUUCUAAUGCCUGUAAGGUAGUUAUGGAAGCUUGAAGGUCAUUUGACCAUAUGUUUCUUCCAUCAACCACUCCGGCAAAUAGAUAUUUUCCCGAAGGAAAUCCG
rnacentral:misc_RNA from 1 species